rnacentral:rRNA from 1 species
GGUCUCAGUUCGGACUGAAGGCUGAAAUUCGCCUUCACGAAGUCGGAAUUGCUAGUAAUGGCAGGUCAGCAUACUGCCGUGAAUACGUUCCCGGGCCUUGUACACACCGCCCGUCACACCAUGAGAGUUAGGAAUACCCGAAGCCUGUGAGCUAACUUUUAGAGGCAGCAGUCGAAGGUAGAACUAAUGAUUGGGGUGAAGUCGUAACAAGGUACC